rnacentral:rRNA from 1 species
CCUACGGGAGGCAGCAGUAGGGAAUUUUCGUCAAUGGGCGCAAGCCUGAACGAGCGAUGCCGUGUGAGUGAAGAAGGCCUUCGGGUCGUAAAGCUCUGUUGCGGGGGAAAAAAGGCAGCAUCAGGAAAUGGGUGCUGACUGAUGGUGCCCCGCCAGAAAGUCACGGCUAACUACGUGCCAGCAGCCGCGGUAAUACGUAGGUGGCGAGCGUUAUCCGGAAGGAUUGGGCGUAAAGGGUGCGCAGGCGGUCCUGCAAGUCUGGAGUGAAACGCAUGAGCUCAACUCAUGCAUGGCUUUGGAAACUGGAGGACUGGAGAGCAGGAGAGGGCGGUGGAACUCCAUGUGUAGCGGUAAAAUGCGUAGAUAUAUGGAAGAACACCAGUGGCGAAGGCGGCCGCCUGGCCUGUUGCUGACGCUGAGGCACGAAAGCGUGGGGAGCAAAUAGGAUUAGAUACCCUAGUAGUC